GGUUAGUGAGAACAUUUUUCAAAACACAAUAGAUGGAUUCAUUAACCAAUUGGAAGCUUCAGCAUCAACUUCAAACCUCCAAAUUCGUCCAAGUUAUACCCUUCAAUCUAAGUCCAAGGCUAGCGAGAGUAUUUUUCACAACACAGUGGAUGGAUCCAUGGGUCAACUUGGUGCUUCAACAUCAACUUCACAAUUUCAAAUUCAUCCAACCAUUUCCGAGGUUAGUGAGCAUACUUUUCAAAACACAAUAAAUGGAUCCAUGAGCCAAUUGGGAGCUUCAACAUCAUUUUCACAAUUCCAAAUUCAUCCAUCUUAUGCCCCUCUAUCCAUGUAAGUAUGUACAAAUAUACAUAUCACAUACAUG